AAUCAGCCCAGAGCCAGUCCACAUCCUCAGGCUCAACUGUGAGUGAUGAAUCAGGUCCAUCUCCAUCUUCUACAGUGCUCUCUCACACACCUCCAUCCUCUGUGCCCACUGUCCCCUCCAUGUCUAAAACCACAGCUGAUUUAUCUACAACUUCCACCACAACGUCCCCUUCACACCAUGGACCAUCAUCGCUCCGCCAGUUGACCCAGCUGAGUGGCCUUCUUUCCUCUCAGAUUCAGACAGGACUGAGCAGGUGAUCAGAGGACCACUGUCUAUUAAGGAGAACUUUUCAUUCCCCAAACGGCAUAAUGGCCGAAGUUUUCAUUAUCAUUAUACCUACAGACAGCUAGUAAAUGGGGAAAAAGUCAAGCGUAGCUGGCUGACUUAUUCAAGAAGUAAAGAUGCAGUCUAUUGCUUUUGCUGCAAAUUAUUUUCCAAAAAGUCCUUAAAACUGGCAGCCGAGGGACAGCGGGAUUGGGUCAACAUAGGUGCACUGCUGAAACAGCAUGAAAACAGUGAAGAUCAUUGUAGCAACAUGGUGAAAUGGAAGGAAUUUGCCUUGCGUCUUUCAAAGGGGAAAACUAUUGAUGAAUUUAACUUCAGUAGACUGCGCUCUCUUUGUACAAAGUAAACAUUAAAUAUGAACAAUUAACUAAAAAUAUAAACUAGUAAUUAAAGACUAAUAUGUACAAGACUGAUGAGACAAGAUGACACUUUUACUGUAAAUACAAAGCUUUAUCACUUGGACUGUACAACCCCAGGCCACUCUUGUAGCUGAAUGUUUUCUACAUUUUAAGAUUAGGAACCAUAUGUGGCACCCUGGACAUCAUUCGUUAAUUCAUUGGUAUUAUUUAUGUUCUUAACUGGGCCACCCCCAUAUCUUUAUAAAUGACAUGUCAUUUGUAAAGACAUGCCAGGCUGACAAUAGGAUAAUGUAAACAACACUGCCAGAGCCGCAAUGAGUUUAUAGUAGGUGUGUGAAUGAUCAACAAUCAAUAUUAUUGGCAGAAAUAGAGGGCCCCAAAAUCAAAUUUUGCUUAGGGCCCCA